rnacentral:misc_RNA from 1 species
AACGCACAUUGCGCCCCUUGGUAUUCCGAGGGGCAUGCCUGUUCGAGUGUCAUUAUAACCCUCAAGCAUUGCCUGGUAUUGGGCUCCGCUGUUCACCCAGCGGGCCUUAAAAUCAGUAGCGGUGCCAUCGAGGCCCUGAGCGUAGUAAUUAUCCUCGCUAUAGGGACCCGGUGGAAGCUAGCCAUCAAUCCCCAACUUUCUAAGUUUGACCUCGGAUCAGGUAGGGAUACCCGCUGAACUUGA